CCAUGCGCAGCCUACCAUGCAAGUCGAGCGAGCUCUUCGGAGCUAGCGGCGGACGGGUUAGUAACGCGUGGGAACGUGCCCUUCACUGCGGAAUAGCCACUGGAAACGGUGAGUAAUACCGCAUACGCCCUUCGGGGGAAAGAUUUAUCGGUGAAGGAUCGGCCCGCGUUAGAUUAGAUAGUUGGUGGGGUAACGGCCUACCAAGUCUACGAUCUAUAGCUGGUUUUAGAGGAUGAUCAGCAACACUGGGACUGAGACACGGCCCAGACUCCUACGGGAGGCAGCAGUGGGGAAUCUUGGACAAUGGGCGCAAGCCUGAUCCAGCCAUGCCGCGUGAGUGAUGAAGGCCUUAGGGUCGUAAAGCUCUUUCGCCAGAGAUGAUAAUGACAGUAUCUGGUAAAGAAACCCCGGCUAACUCCGUGCCAGCAGCCGCGGUAAUACGGAGGGGGUUAGCGUUGUUCGGAAUUACUGGGCGUAAAGCGCACGUAGGCGGAUCAGAAAGUUGGGGGUGAAAUCCCGGGGCUCAACCCCGGAACUGCCUCCAAAACUCCUGGUCUUGAGUUCGAGAGAGGUGAGUGGAAUUCCGAGUGUAGAGGUGAAAUUCGUAGAU
rnacentral:rRNA from 1 species